CAACCGGAACAAAACAGCUAGCUGCUAGCUUAGCUUGUCAGUAACAACGCUUUUUUUGUGUAUUCGCGUGUGUGUUUUUCGAAAGGAGUUGGUAAACAAAGCACAGACUUGCUGGAUCUCAAGCAUCUAUCUGAACGGAUUACCAAACACAGACGCAGCAGAACAACGUGGCAAAACAAAAGUAUCCGGACUGACAGCGCAUUUAAACGGGGAAUCGAGCCGCUGAUGAGUAGGCUAACAGAUUGCAGGUGAGGAUGAGGUUGCGGGAGAACGUGUUGGCAAAUGCGGUGUAAAACUCCAGCACCCUCAUGAGAGCGUCUCUCCUGAUGACGUGCAGAUCGCAAGUAAAACUCACCGCUGGAGCGCCGGACUAUAUUUUCCAGAAAAGUGUUCUGCGGAGCCACCAGUCCUCUCUUG